UACAGUGUCGUGAAUACUGGUUAAGUUAAUCAAGGACGAGAUGGCGUCGACGCCGAUGAUGCCGCUGAACGCCGAUGGAAGUGCACCGGUGGCUCCACCGCUACCUGGGACGGACAUGACGAGCAUAUGUUUCAGAGACCAGCUGUGGCUGAAUACUUAUCCGCUCGACAGAAACCUAGUGUUCGACUAUUUUGCACUCUCCCCGUUCUACGAUUGGACCUGCAAUAAUGAACAACUCCGUGCCCGCGCCAUCCACCCGCUGGAUUUUUCUCAUAUCUCGAAAAUGACGGGCAUGGAAUACACGUUGAGUGAAGUAAUGGAGCCUAAUCUCUUUGUCAUCCGUAAGCAAAAGAGGGAUAGCCCUGAGAAGGUCACACCAAUGCUGACUUAUUACAUCUUGGAUGGUUCAAUAUACCAAGCUCCGCAGCUCUGCAAUGUAUUUGCAGCUCGACUUGGGCGUGCUCUAUAUCAUAUAUCAAAAGCUUUUGGUACUGCAUCCUCAAAGUUGGAAAAGAUAGGAUAUGUGGAGUCGGAAAACGAUAGCCAAGCAUCUGAAACUAAGCCCGCCAAAGAGGCCAUCGACUUCAAGGAACUUAAGCGAGUUGAUCACAUCCUUGCUUCUCUACAGCGGAAGCUUCCGCCAGUACCUCCGCCUCCACCUUUCCCAGAAGGCUUUGCACCCCCUUCCACUUCAGAACCCUCUGAAAACCAGCAACCAGAGACUCAGCCGCCUCCAAGUGAUCCUAUUAUUGAUCAAGGCCCGUCUAAGAGAAUGAAGGUAUGAGAAGGGAGUGGUGUGUCAACUGUUGCAUAGGAGCAAGAACUUAGACAAGGUUGUCUGAAGUAAAAAUGGUAAGUCAGAAGUUACUGAUAAUUUCAUAAUUUCUCAUUUUUUCUGUCUCCAUCGCGAAGUUUGACAAUGUACAUCAAGCAACACAGUAAUUUAUUGAAGUCACAUUCAAACAAUUCCAUUGUCACAAACUCAAACUGAGAAAUAUCACAUUCAUUUCGACUACUUGUAUCUGUGAAGUAUAACUACGCAAGUGUAAGAACAAUUCAAAGUCUAAAGAAUAAGGAGAAAAGGAAGAAUAAGGAGUUCAACUGUUUAUAGAAGAACAAGUCAAAGUCUAUAAUGCUGCAAUGAGCAACUGACUCAUUUAUUUUGGCCCUCAAUUGCAAUAUUCUUCUCUUUAGUUUCCAACUGUUCAAAGGUCGAAUUGCAUUUAUUAUAUCAUUGAAAAAAAUUAUUAUUGAACAGUAUUUCAAUUUUCAACCAUACCUUAAUUUCUCCAUACACUUGACAAAAACUCAACUUGUUGAACUCAAAAGUUGUCCUGGCCUGUUAUAAACUCCUUCUGUACACAUUUGGACCAAUAAUUUUUUUUUUUUGUCUUUUUUUGAUAUGUUAAUGUUACAAGUGAAAAUCUAUAUUUGAAAUAGUAUGAACAGAAGUAGUAUAAGUAUGGAAUUAGUUACUGUUUUAUUAGAAUGGAAUAUUGAUUAAUGAUGAUGAAGAAAUUUAUAUUUGUAACUACCUAAGAAAUGACCUGACUUUGUAAAUUUUCAGACCCAGAAUUAAAUUGUUUGAAAUUUGUCACACAAGUCAAUUCCAAGCACAUGAUUAAUGCAUUUCGAUGACUAGCUAGCAGACUUGUCAAUAUUUGAAACUCCUCUAGAAACUAAGUGAAAUAGUAGCAGUAGAACAAAUGCCAGUUCAUAUAAUUAAUUUUUAACAAAGACAUGUAAUGAAUUGAUUGUACAUAUAGAGCACCUGUAAAGCAAAGGAUGCUAUUGUUGAUUUAAUGUGAAGAAAAUUGAAAUUAGAAAAAACAAUGGCAAGUAAUUAUUUUCUGAUGUUUAUUUCAUAUGUUAGGCGUUAUAUCACAUACAUUUUUAUGGUGUUGUAAACUUAGAUGACAGUCUAAUAUUUUAUCAAUAAGACUGAGCAAUAUAUGAAUAAACAUUAGACCCAACCCUAUUCCAAACUAUAUCUUUGUCUUUUAAUCUCUAAUUCACUUAUUAAAACAAUUCCAACAGGGUGGUAUUUUUAAUUAAAACCUCCAUCGUAUACUUUAUUUAAAAAUUGGUGAUUGAUUUUUGCCUUAUUGUAUCAAGCAACAUAUAUUAUAAACAUAAACUUAUUACAUCAUCAAGCUCUCUAUAUAUAAUAACUAAUAUAGUGAAAUUAGUGUAUGCUUAAUUAACAACAUUAUCAUAGCUUUAUCAAAAUUUAGUCUAAGGUAAUGGCUAUGAAUUCUGAGAAAACUCUUGUGGCUACAAUCAUUAUGUUUAUGCUAGUUUUAUCUCCAGCUGUGCCCAGCAACGCCGAUCGACUGACUCGUCGAGAACUUGGGGUCAAAGAACCAAAAUGUGUGAAUUGCAUCUGUUGCCAACCAAAUACGCCGUCGUGUUGCGCCUGCGCUUGUUUCGUUCCGUUUACGGCCGCCGUGGACCGGCCGUGAUCAUGGAAUUAAGCAAAUUAAUGAUGAGAAGAUCAGAAACAUAUUGUGUGAUGAUUUCUACAUAAUAAGAAAAUAAUUUGCUCAUGUAAUUAAUGUUUUUGGCAAUGUAUUUUAGGUCAUUUGAA